AUGGGCACCAGGCUCCUCUGCUGGGUGGUCCUGGGUUUCCUAGGGACAGAUCACACAGGUGCUGGAGUCUCCCAGUCCCCAAGGUACAAAGUCGCAAAGAGGGGACGGGAUGUAGCUCUCAGGUGUGAUUCAAUUUCGGGUCAUGUAACCCUUUAUUGGUACCGACAGACCCUGGGGCAGGGCUCAGAGGUUCUGACUUACUCCCAGAGUGAUGCUCAACGAGACAAAUCAGGGCGGCCCAGUGGUCGGUUCUCUGCAGAGAGGCCUGAGAGAUCCGUCUCCACUCUGAAGAUCCAGCGCACAGAGCAGGGGGACUCAGCUGUGUAUCUCUGUGCCAGCAGCUUAGC